rnacentral:rRNA from 1 species
UACAGAGGGUGCAAGCGUUGUUCGGAAUUAUUGGGCGUAAAGGGUGCGUAGGCGGCCUGACAAGUCUGAUGUGAAAUCCCUGGGCUCAACCCAGGGCCUGCAUCGGAAACUGUCGGGCUUGAGUAUGGGAGAGGUGAGUGGAAUUUCCGGUGUAGCGGUGAAAUGCGUAGAUAUCAGGAGGAACACCUGUGGCGAAAGCGGCUCACUGGACCAUAACUGACGCUGAUGCACGAAAGCUAGGGGAGCAAACAGG